GACGAACGCUGGCGGCGUGCUUAACACAUGCAAGUCGAACGGAAAGGCCCUGCUUUUGUGGGGUGCUCGAGUGGCGAACGGGUGAGUAACACGUGAGUAACCUGCCCUUGACUUUGGGAUAACUUCAGGAAACUGGGGCUAAUACCGGAUAGGAGCUCCUGCUGCAUGGUGGGGGUUGGAAAGUUUCGGCGGUUGGGGAUGGACUGGCGGCUUAUCAGCUUGUUGGUGGGGUAGUGGCUUACCAAGGCUUUGAUGGGUAGCCGGCCUGAGAGGGUGACCGGCCACAUUGGGACUGAGGUACGGCCCAGACUGCUACGGGAGGCAGCAGUGGGGAAUAUUGCACAAUGGGCGGAAGCCUGAUGCAGCAGCGCCGCGUGCGGGAUGACGGCCUCCGGGUUGUAAACCGCUUUCGCCUGUGACGAAGCGUGAGUGACGGUAAUGGGUAAAGAAGCACCGGCUAACUACGUG
rnacentral:rRNA from 1 species